rnacentral:lncRNA from 1 species
GUUUUAGAGGUACCAGUGACGUUAAAAUCUUAAUUUACCAACAUUCGAAAAGAAAGGAAGUAAAUUACGUGCGUCAGCGCACACGUGUGCCGACACCACGUGCAGAUUCCACAGUGAGCCAGCGAGCGUUCCAGGCGAAUGAUCCUGCACUUGACAGCAACACCGACCUGCCCAUCCCACGACACCACAAUACAUUAAAUAGGCCAUACACCAUGCGGCGAGCAUCAUCAUUGUUGUCAUUUUAUAAGAAUAACCAUGGUAGCUAUUUGCACGAGCUGGUAUUUGAUCUAUUUUAUGUAGCCUACAAUAAAAGUAAAAGUUAUCUAAACGUAAAAAAUACUGCAGUUUGCAUAUUUUAAACACGCUUAGAUACAUUAAACUAUUUUGUUAAUACCUAUACCAAGCGUAACAUAGAGCAUCAACCUAAAAUAUGUACAACCUAAAUAUAUCCUUUGAAGUUUCUAAAAAUGUGUAAGUCGUUGAGUGAUAAUUUUUAACUGUUCUAAAUACAUAGAAGUGGGUUUAUCAGUGUGUCUGUAAUGUUUGGAGGGGCUUUGUUUGUAGCUGCGGGCGUGACAGCAGCUUCCGCCAAGUUCAUUGUCGUGCCGGUGUCGCCCGCCCGUCGCGCCGCUACUCGCGAGUCGCGACGAAUAGCCCGUGUUGACCCCGCCCUUAUUAAUUUUUUAAUUUACUUUUAGCGAGUCCAUUAUAUAAUGAUUUCAUCCAAACGUCAUUUGUUUUUUUGGAAUGAGUAAUAACGUCACGUAUUUAGUGGCACAGAUAUAAUAUUGACGUCUCUAUUGUUGGUUAUAAGGAAUAGUUGAUUAACGAUGAAUACGAAUGAAAUUUUAUACCUACUUAAAUAGUAUCAUCAUCAGGCGCUUCCAUAACAUCAGAAAUAUUACUAGAUUUUAGGGUUAAAUAAAAUAAACGAGGAAACCGCGGUACAUCUGGAAACUGAACCCAGCUCUUACGUCGCUCAGAGCAUUCCAGUGGCGACUAAAGUGGAAAUCACGUCGAUCCGACGUCAAUAAUCUAACUACGUACCCACUAUAAACAUUUUUAUUUUACUCUAACCAUAAUUAUUAUGGAUUGGAAAUUUACUAUAACAUGACGUGUUUACACAGAUAACAGUUUGAAAGCAUCCAUCGGAUUUUCCUUAUAUAUCUCGGUUUAUAAAUUGUGACGUAUGUAUAUUAACCACACAAAAGGGUAAACGACUCUAUGUAAACUGAAUCCGUAGUAACAAAAAACUUAAAGCCAUAGUUUUUCCCCUUGAAAUAUCUGCUAUGAAAUUAUGUAAUAGGGUGUGUGGUUUACGUUAUAGAUAUUAGCCAUCUUAAAGUUUUUACCGGUGUAUGCGUUUAGUUCUAUAAUAUCAAUCAUCGUCAGACAAGGCUGCAAAGGUCAAAAGAAUAUAUUAUGCUGAGUUGACUAAUAAACUUCACUAGUUGUAGAAGCACUACAAUAAGAAGAAUCAUCUUCAGAAACAUUAAAUAUUAUUACUUGUAAGGAUAUUGCGCAAAUACCUAAGUCUUCUUUUACUGUCGUGAGACGUCAAUCAGGCUUUACCACCUAGAAAAUACUAAAACCGCCAAAUGCUACAAACUGAACAAUGAGCAUUGCCUUUCACAUCAACCGUAUUAUCUGUUUAUUUAUUCAUGAACUAUUUUAAGCGGUAGGUACAGUUAAUUAGGUCGCACUAACUUCCAACACUUAUAUCUAAUGAUGCGUUAAUUCUGUCAACACACGAUUAAUUGCAAGGUCAUGUUUAUUAACAAUCUACAUUAUCUAUCAUAAACUGGCUAAAUAUAGGAAUUACACAUUAUAAAUAAAAACCAAGAGGAAAAUGUAUAACUUUCCAUACGGAUUUCGAACAUCAAAGCAAAUUCUGAAGCACCGAUUAACGUUGUGGUUUCCUCAGUCUUGUAAACAUUUGAAUCUUGAUAUGAUCGGCCGAAUUUUUGAUUUCUAAUCCAAAGAAACUCAUUUUAUUAUUCUCUUUCAUGUGAAUGGUUAGUGAUCUAAUAAGUGUGUAAACUGUGUGUGUAUUGUGAUAAAUCAAUCCGAUGCGUAUAUUCGUUUAGUAGAGCGUGACAUUCAUGCUUCGACCAGAUCACCCAUUUAUUCUAUAAGCACAACGCUCAAUGUCAAAUUUGUGCUUAACUCCAAUUUUAUAAAAUACUAGCAUUUACCUACGACUUCACCUGCGUGAAAGGUUUUUCAGGAAACAUAUUUUUGCCGAGAUAAUAAGUAGCCUAUAGCACUCAGGAGUAAUGUAGCUUCCUAUUAGUGGAAAAUAUUUCAAGAUCGGUUUGGUAGUUUCUGAGUUUGCCGUUUAAAAUAUGUACAAACUCUUCGGCUACAGUAACAUAUUUUCGGAUUUAAGAUUUACUCGAAACCACUUACAAUAAUAAAAUAGGCGGUUGGCGCGUAGCGGCCGUGUACUGCCCUCUGCAGAGUAACUCAAUUGCUUGAAUUGGCUUAAAUUAACGAUGAAGUAAUAUACAGGAUGAACUGCGUGAGAUUAUAAAUAUUUCAUCAAAAUCCAUGUUCAAAGCUGCUAGCCGAUAUUUAAAUAAGAAAAACAACAACGUACAGUGAAUAUGUAACAUAAUACAUUCUCUGUAUAACGCCGAUUUUUAUUUCAUAAUUUGUAAUUCGUUUAAACUGUAAGUUAUGAUGCAUGCUGAAGUUUAAGUAGAGAAUCACAGCUAUCUUCUGUCGUAAUACUGUAACAUGUGAAAAGAAUGUGUAUUAUGUGUGUUCUCAGUUGUAAACUCUGAAAAAAAUAAAAUAAAACUUCAAGAUUAA